AAUCUCAAAUUAUCAACUUAACCUCCUUCAGGUUGUUGCAUGUGGUGGCUGGUGAUGGUGGUGACUACAGUGCUGGUGCUGCCUCAGGGAGGCCAGACACUGUACUGCAUAGACUGCCAGACUUGUGACCAGGAGAUUGGUGUAAUUUCAAGAUGCAAUGAGAGUGACCCUGCCUGCAUGAAAGUUGUCACCAUCUCUGGGGAGUUUAAGCAGUGUGCUAACAAAUUAGACUGUGGCUUGGGGGACUCUCAACGUCUGGCCAACACGCUGCUCAACUUUGUCUACCAGAGAUUCUCAGACACGGACAGACUUGCGCUAGUGUACUGCUGCAUGAGCAACUACUGCAACGUUGCUGUACACUGCUUCAUUCAUCCUAUACUCUUCUUCUCAAGCCUCUGCAUCACAUUCAUAAUGAUUUAUUAAGAAUUCUCAUUUGGACUACAUUUCGGUCUUUGAUUAUGCCUCUAUUACUAGAAAUAUCCAUAUAAGUGAGGUAGUACAACUAGAUAUGCAUAAAAAUGCAGUUUGCCGAAGAAUUAAUGGUCUUCUGGAAAAGAUGCUGCAGAUCAAGAUCAAUCCCUGCACAUUGUAGGUGAAUAUUAAAAAGUAGGUUAAUAAUUGUGUGGAUGCAUUGUACACACGAGAAUAAACUUAAUGAAUACUGUUCUUUUAUUAGAGCAACACCGAAUAUUUUGGAUCAACUGGGAGGCACCACAAGUUAUGAAUACCAAACCUUUGUAUCACAUGGCAAGAGAAGCCAACAAAGCAAAAAGUACAAUAUACCUGAAUGUCCUUCAACUCAGUUUCAAGGCAGGGACAUACUAAUUGCAAAAAUUUCUCUAAUGCUGCCCAAGAUGCAUCCUCAAAAAUUAACAAAAGGCAUUACACUCAAAAAUGCCUCUCCUUAGUAUGUUUUGUAUGACACUUGCAGGUUUAGUAUUUAGUUAUAAUAAUAAUUCAUCUAAACACAAGGUCCUAAAAUGUGGAAUUGUGUACCACAUUUCAAGAAACUAAAGCAAUGUAUGACCUAUGUAGGUUUAGCACUUUUUUUAUAAUCAGGAAAUGAAACAAUGAAUUGUUAAGUUCUAUGCUUAAUUACAUCAUUCACUCCAUGCACCUUCUGGUAACUUAACAUUAAUUGUAAUUCUUAUUACUAUUCAAACCUAACUUCAUUAAAACUUCAAUUAAUCAAUCUUUUAAUUUGAAUUUUAGCUUUACAGUAGUCCCCCCAAAUUUGCAGGGGUUACAUUCCAAGACCACCCUAGAAUUUGCAAAAAGUGAAUUCUGGAUGUGGUUAAAAAAUGCCUGUGUCUAUUUUCAUUGUUUAAACCCUAAAUAUGCCCCCAAAACACUUUAUUCUCAAACUCAGCUUCUUUGGUAUACAUAAGGUAAUAAUUUAUUGAAAGUAAAGUUAAAUGUACAGGUACUCUCCAAUAAUGAACGAUACCAUUCUCUCUACAACACUAAAAAAAUUUUAUACAGUAUGUAUUGCAUUUUAUGUGGAAAUUUUGCUGAAUUUACAGUUACAAAAAUUAUAUUUUUCUUAAUAUUUUGUUAAAACAAAAAAUUAUAUACUGCCAUGAAACAGCCAAAAAAAAAAAAAUCAGCGAAUUACUGAAGCCACAAAUUUGGAACUGCGAAUUCGUGGGGGUCCCCUGUAUUUCCCUUCACUAACAUAACUCUUAAUCAAAGCAUGCUACAUCUAAAUACUGUACUGUCUUUGUAUUGAGUAAUCUUUGUUUUGGGCAAACUAUGAAUACUAUGAUCUUUCCAAAUUACUGCUAUGUAUGUUUAAUUUUUUUAAAUACCCUAGUGGAGGCAUAUUUUUGACAAUUAAAAUUCUAAGGGAAUUCAUUCUUUAAACUCUAAAGUAUCCAUAUUCAGUAGCAAAUAUCUUUUGCUUCACUACAGGAUGCUUUAAUACAUACUAUUAUUAAUGUCAGUGAUGUAUAGUGCAUGUUAGGGAACAAGUGUAAUUAUUAUUGCAAUUAUAAUUAAGCGCUAAACCCACGAGGGUCGUACAGUGCAAGCACAAAGAUGAGGAAAUAUAUUAAGUGGGCCUUAGUAGGAAUCUUCAUUUAGUCCUAAAAUGGCUGUGCUCUUGCAGAAUAUCUGAAUAUCAAAAGUCUAAUUAAUAAAUAUUUUAAUGAUCAUGUGAGAAUUACCAAGUAAUGGAUGAAUUAACUACUCGGUAGCAAUUUUGUUUUCCACCGUAAAAUGGUAACAAAGAUCUCUAGUUCAUUUUUCAGUUUAAACAUUAAAAAUUAGAAUGAUUUAGCAAAAACUACACACAAACUGUGCCUUAAUGAAGUAUUUUUUCACCGAAUUGAAAACUUGUGCAUCUACUAGGGCAAGACACUAUCAAUAAUGUUUGAAUGUGAAUCCAAGUAAGUGUUAAAUGAGUUUGUCCAGCAUUAGCAUAAUUUACUGCUUCAUGUGGGGAAGAUCUUGACAGAAGGGUAUUCUUGACAUUUCUGCUUGCAACUAGCUCAAAGUAGUUUAUGGACAGAUAAUGCAAAACUGCUGAAUGUACAUACAAGUGAAGACAGUUUAACUGGUUCAUUACUUGGAAAAAAAAAUCAUUGGAAAAAAAAAAGAUUAAACAGUUUAUGUACAUUUUUUAACAAGUGACUUGAGCAUAUUAUGCAUACAGGAACAAGUCUUUUAAACA